GGUGGGGUGGCAGAGCGGUUGAACGCGGCGGACUUGAAAUCCGCUAGGGGGCCUGUCCCCCUCAGGGGUUCGAAUCCCCUCCCCACCG
rnacentral:tRNA from 1 species